rnacentral:tRNA from 1 species
GUAGGGCUGUAGCUUAGUGGUAGAGUGCUUGCCUAGUACGUGUGAGGCACUGGGUUUGAUCCUUAGCACUACA